rnacentral:rRNA from 1 species
GAUGAACGCUGGCGGCGUGCCUAAUACAUGCAAGUCGAGCGAACAGACGAGGAGCUUGCUCCUCUGACGUUAGCGGCGGACGGGUGAGUAACACGUGGAUAACCUACCUAUAAGACUGGGAUAACUUCGGGAAACCGGAGCUAAUACCGGAUAAUAUAUUGAACCGCAUGGUUCAAUAGUGAAAGACGGUUUUGCUGUCACUUAUAGAUGGAUCCGCGCCGCAUUAGCUAGUUGGGAAGGUAACGGCUUACCAAGGCAACGAUGCGUAGCCGACCUGAGAGGGGGGUCGGCCACACUGGAACUGAGACACGGUCCAGACUCCUACGGGAGGCAGCAGUAGGGAAUCUUCCGCAAUGGGCGAAAGCCUGACGGAGCAACGCCGCGUGAGUGAUGAAGGUGUUCGGAUCGUAAAACUCUGUUAUUAGGGGAGAACAAAUGUGUAAGUAACUAUGCACGUCUUGACGGUACCUGAUCAGAAAGCCACGGCUAACUACGUG